rnacentral:rRNA from 1 species
AUUGAACGCCGGCGGCAGGCCUAACACAUGCAAGUCGAACGAGUGGCGGACGGGUGAGUAAUGUCUGGGAAACUGCCUGAUGGAGGGGGUAACUACUGGAAACGGUAGCUAAUACCGCAUACCAUCGGAUGUGCCCAGAUGGGAUUAGCUAGUAGGUGGGGUAAAGGCUCACCGAGGCGACGAUCCCUAGCUGGUCUGAGAGGAUGACCAGCCACGAUGGAAAUGAGACACGGUCCAUAGUGCUAAGGGAAGCAGCGGUAGGGAAUCUUUCAAAAUGGGCGCAAGCCUGAUGCAGCCAUGGCGCGUGUGUGCAAAAGGCCUUCGGGUUUUAAAUCCCUUUCCACGAGGAGGCGUUACUCGCAGAAGAAGCCCCGGCUAACUCCGUGCCAGCCGCCGCGGUAAUAC